UCUUAGCUAAGAAAUACAGGCUGCAGUGGGAUAGAUGGCAAUUCCUGCAACCUGAAGCCAUUAAAUCUGGCUAAGACCACUGAAUUCAGGUCUAACAUUUUCUAGUAGGUUUAAAAUUUGAAACCUUAUAGACAUUAAUGGAUCACACAUGGCUACCCACAAGGAGAAAGAUCUAUCCAAAGCGGCCUUCAGGCUUCAUCUCUGCGUGACCCUAGUGCUAAAGCCCAGACUGGGAUUCCAAGCAAAACCCUUGGGCCUUAGGAGCCUCUUGGGAGACUUACACCUUAGGAGUACUCCCUCUUCCUUGCCAAGCUGUAACCUACUGAUAAAAACGGGCAGUUGGGGGUGAGGCUUUCCUUUCCUUCCUGAUCUCCUCGCCUCUCCCUUAAUCUCCAGCUUCCCAAACUGCAGCGGCCGUCACCUCCAUCCUGGGAGCAGGGCUUCGCCGUGGCCACCGCCCGCUGCAGCCAUUCUGUCCCGAGGUUGGCAGCUGCGCGGGGUGCAGCUUCCUGUGGGGAACGGGGAGGGCGCGCGUGGGGGCGGGGCUUCCACGCCCUCUCCAGGAGCUGGGAGGCGGGGCCUCAACAGAACACCCCUCCCACAGCCAUCCUGCCCGCUGGAUUUCACAAACCGCCUCUCAGUUAAUCUAGCACUCCUUAGAGAGGCGACAAAGGCUGUUUUGUAAUUACUUCUUUCCCCAAAUACUUUGUUGUUUAGUCACUAUGUCGUGUCCAUCUCUUUGCGACCCCAUGCACUGUAGCUCACCAGGCUCUUCUGACCAUGAACUCCAGGCAAGAAUAAUGGAGUAGGUAGCCGUUCCCUUCUCCAGGGUAUCUUCCCAACCCAGGGAUUGAACCCAGGUGCCCUGCAUUCUAGGUGGAUUGUAUGCCAUCUGAGCCACCAGGGGAGCGCCUCUCAAAUACUUACCUUGACCUUAAUGAGUAGGACCUGUUUCUCACGUCAAAACAGUAUGAAAAUGGUAAAGAACAUGAGCUCUGGGAUUGGAAUCUCAAUUCUACCUACAAUCCUAAAUCUGAAGAGAAGAUUAAUGAGAUCAUAUAAAAUCAUAGAAAUGAAUGAUGAAUUAAGAAGAAACUGGCAAGAAAUGGACUUGAAUGGACGUAACAUAUUUUGGGAAGGAAAUGUCAUCCUACCUCAGGUGCUGGAUGUUGAGUGGAGACUCCUUUCAUUGAUUAUGAUCUCAGCUUCCAUCUGAUUAUUUGAGGUUCCCAAGGGAGGACUGCCCAGCUGAGCUCAUCAGCUGCCCAAACCUUGAAAGAUAAACUGUUAAACCACUAAGUUUUGAGGCGGUGCAAGUGGUAAAGAAACCACCUGCCAAUGCAGGAGACAAGACGCAGGAGACGAGACACAAGAGAUGUGGGUUUGAUCCCAGUGUUGGGAAGAUCCCCUGGAGGAGGAAAUGGCAACCUACUCCACUAUUCUUACCUGGAGAAUUCCAUGGACAGACAAGCCUGGUAGGCUACAGUCCAUGGGGUUGCAAAAGAAUUGGACACAACUAAACAUGCACACAUAAUGCAUGCAGAAAUAGAUAAACAGAACGUUUACCUUAUGCCAGCUUGAUGAGUUUCAUAACUGAGAUGUCAUGUUGAUCUUACAGAAAAUGAGAGGUUGCAAAUGCAUCUGAAAUUUUCAUGUAAAUAAUACUGUAGGCUAGGUUUUUUUUUUUUUAAUAAACUUACUCAUGUAAUAUCUAGGUCUUAUUUUCAUUAAAAUGUUCUAGUAUUAAAUAACAUAUUUGAGUCAUAUUUUAUGAUCAUGCCUUCAAGAUUGGGGAUACUAUUAAUUUGGAAAUCUGAUUUUCAGCUCUUCCACAUAAUCACUAGAAUUUUCCAUUCUUGCCAGUAAAUGCUGUCACCUAUCCAUGGGAUCAAACUGAGUGAGAAAUAGAUUAAUAUUCUUUAUUAAAUGUUAACUUUUGUUUUUGAUUCAUGCCAUGAUUUGUCUAGAUAUUGCUCUUUACAUUAGUUUCUUAAGGGGGCUUUAUUGUUUCAUAAAGAAUGAUUUUACAGAUAUUUAAAAACAGGAGGAGAA